rnacentral:tRNA from 1 species
UCAUUAAGAAGCUAAACUAGCGUUAACCUUUUAAGUUAAAGAUUGAGAGCCCAAACUCCCCUUAAUGAU